AGUAGUAGUUAUAUUCUUGAAACUUAAAGAAUUUGGCGGUAUUUUAAUCUAGUCAGAGGAACCUGUUCUAUAAUCGAUAUUCCACGUUAAAUUUUACUAAAUUAUUUGUAUAUCGUUGUCGAAAGAAUAAAUUUUCUAAUAUUUUUAUUAUAAUAAAUGUCAAAUCAAGGUGCAGUUGAUAGUUUAGUAGAAAUGGGUUACAAUAAAUAUAUUUAGAAAUUGGAUGAAGGAGGAUUUGAUAGUAAAUUGAUUUUAAAAA
rnacentral:rRNA from 1 species